GAAAAGAAUGCUAAUACCGCAUAAUAUAUAUUUAUCGCAUGGUAGAUAUAUCAAAGAUUUAUCGCUUAGAGAUGGACUCGCGUCCGAUUAGUUAGUUGGUGAGGUAACGGCUCACCAAGACCGCGAUCGGUAGCCGGACUGAGAGGUUGAACGGCCACAUUGGGACUGAGACACGGCCCAGACUCCUACGGGAGGCAGCAGUGGGGGAUAUUGCGCAAUGGGGGAAACCCUGACGCAGCAACGCCGCGUGAAGGAUGAAGGUCUUCGGAUUGUAAACUUCUUUUAUUAAGGACGAAGAAAGUGACGGUACUUAAUGAAUAAGCUCCGGCUAACUACGUGCCAGCAGCCGCGGUAAUACGUAGGGAGCAAGCGUUGUCCGGAUUUACUGGGUGUAAAGGGUGCGUAGGCGGCUUUGCAAGUCAGAUGUGAAAUCUAUGGGCUCAACCCAUAGCCUGCAUUUGAAACUGCAGAGCUUGAGUGAAGUAGAGGCAGGCGGAAUUCCCCGUGUAGCGGUGAAAUGCGUAGAGAUGGGGAGGAACACCAGUGGCGAAGGCGGCCUGCUGGGCUUUAACUGACGCUGAGGCACGAAAGCGUGGGUAGCAAACAGGAUUAGAUACCCUGGUAGUCCACGCUGUAAACGAUGAUUACUAGGUGUGGGGGGUCUGACCCCUUCCGUGCC
rnacentral:rRNA from 1 species